GUAAGGAAUAUUUGGUCAAUGGACGCAAGUCUGAACCAGCCAUGCCGCGUGAAGGAUUAAGGUCCUCUGGAUUGUAAACUUCUUUUAUAUGGGACGAAAAAAGGUCUUUCUAGACCCCUUGACGGUACCAUAUGAAUAAGCACCGGCUAACUCCGUGCCAGCAGCCGCGGUAAUACGGAGGGUGCAAGCGUUAUCCGGAUUCACUGGGUUUAAAGGGUGCGUAGGCGGGUAGGUAAGUCAGUGGUGAAAUCCUGGAGCUCAACUCCAGAACUGCCAUUGAUACUAUCUAUCUUGAAUAUUGUGGAGGUAAGCGGAAUAUGUCAUGUAGCGGUGAAAUGCUUAGAUAUGACAUAGAACACCCAUUGCGAAGGCAGCUUACUACGCAUAUAUUGACGCUGAGGCACGAAAGCGUGGGGAUCAAACAGGAUUAGAUACCC
rnacentral:rRNA from 1 species